AUGGUGGAUGGAAAUGGUCCUGCAAGUAAGUUGCUCGAGAUAUUCAGUACCUGCAGAGGCCGGGCAGGGGUUGAAGAUGACAGUUCGUGCAGAGCUCCAGUCAGGCGGUUGAAACUGACGUCAAGGACAAUGAUGCUGCUGGAUGACACCAAUUCCAGUGGCAAGCUACCGGACAGUGAGUUGCGCGACAGGUUGAGACGUAACAGGCCAGUGAGGUUGCCAAGGAACGGCGAGAUGGACCCCUCGAGACCUCGAGAAGCCAGCUCAACAUCAGUGACCGUCCUAUUGGGGCUGCAGGUGAUCCCUUCCCACCUGCAGCAGUCUGUGUCGUUCCGCCAUGACACCAUGAGGCCGCCGUCUUGCGAGAGCCCAUCAAGGAGCUGGAUAAGGGAGCUCUUCCCUGCUCCGUGCAAGAGCUGGUGGGAGAAGCCAAGGUGA
rnacentral:rRNA from 1 species